AUUUAAAGAUUCCAUCGUCUCCCACAUGGCCUGAGGAUCUUUGUAAAUGGACAGAAAACCCUUAAAAUCAUUCACACAGUACUCUUCUUACAUCACACUAGUGCACGAGGCUGUGGCUCCACAAGGACAACUAAACACUUGAAAAAGAAGAGGAUUAACAUCAGUGAGACUGGAAAACCAAGAGGAACUUAAUGAUUAAAUCAAUAUCACUGUUUGAUCUUGGCCUCCCAUCAGCACGUACCUGCCAGUUGACCCCAUGGCAAUCACGAGGACAGCAUUUACUUUUGCUCUCACACCCAUAAAGCAUAGUCGUCGUCACACACGGACUGAGAGAACCAACAAGAGAAAUUCAAAGAUGCACCCCUAACUAAUCCCAGAAGAUGCCUCACUCCUAUGUAGCCCACCUGCAGUGUUUCCAUCCCGACAGCCUCUAAUCAGUGUGUACCUGAGGCCAUUCCUUCUUCCACUGGAAAGCUCUGCCCCCUCUCUUCGAGCUGCUGCCAAACACGAGUGAUGGUGGCCGACCCCCUUUGCAAGGGAAAGUUCUGAAUAAAGAACCUCUUCUUGUUCUCAUUUGAGUGCGCUUCACUUAUUUCCAUAGUUCUCAUG